CCCUGCCCUCUCCAAAAGAAUUCCCCAGGCUCAGUAGCCUGGCCUUGGCAGCAGGGUCCAGCACAUUUUUAUUUCUUCUGCUGAAACAAGGAUCGUGUCUACAGCAGCUUUUAAAUGAGAAGAGCUUUGAGCUGGAAAAUGAGCGGCUGCUUCGCUGCUUUUAGGCAAUAACAUUCUUAAUAUUCCUGUCUUCCAGUCCUGUUCCCCUAGGAUAACUGGGAUGAGCUGAAUUGUGAUUGUUGUUUGACUGUCGUGCUUUUGCCUCUGGUGACCACUGUGGUUGAUUCCUCUUGUGUUAAACAACAGCCUUGCUGAGUGCUUGGGGCAGAGUUGUAUUUUAAGGCUGCAGUCAUUUUUUUCUCCCCCAAAUUUCCACUGGAUAUUGCUGGUGACUCUCAUAACUACGUGAGAAGCUGCCAGCAGCUGGUCUGAGCUUUGACUGUCUGUUCAAAAUGAGCUUCUAACCUGAUGCUUCGAGUGCUCUGGCUAGAAAAGCAAUUUCAGGCGCUUCCCGCGAGCAGCCGGGAGAGGAGCACUGAGGAAAGCCAGCCCGGGGGAAGUUGAAAGGCAACUUUGAACGCCGAGGAGGUCGGGGCUGGCCAAGGCGCCGCAGCCGUGUCCCCGUCGUGCUGCCGGGAGCGGCUGGCUGCAGCUGGGACAGGGACAGCCGCGUUAUCCGCUGCGAUCUGCCGCCUGAUUUCCAGGAGAAGAAGAAUGCCAACACCAAGAUGAAGUAGAGCGUUUCCUAUGCUGGCGGCGGCGCCCACACGCUGGUGUCGGCUGGGUAGGGACAGGCUCUCGCCUCUGGCCAAACCCAUUCCCGGGACAAGAUGAAGCCGAGGAGGAGCUUCCCGCCGCGCUGGAGCCGCAGUGACUGCUGCCCGCUUUAAAGCCCAUGUGCCACCGUCCCCGGCGAGAUGAAAGAAGUGGUGCUGUGGUCACCCGAGGAGGUGACCAACUGGCUGACGGACAAUGCCGUGCCGGAGUACUGUGAGCCCCUGAAGAGCUUCACCGGGCGGGACCUCAUCAACCUGACGGAGGAAGAUUUCAAGAAAUCCCCUCUGUCCCGGGUGUCUUCCGACAGCGGCCAGCGGCUGUUGAACAUGAUCGAGGGGCUGAAGAUGGCUCACCACAUGGAGGCUCACAAGAACGGCCACACCAACGGGCACGUGCGCGCCGGCGACGCCGCGCGCCAGAACGGCUUCGGCGCCGCGCUCAAGCUCAAUGGGGUCCCCAACGGGUUCAAGAAGGAGAUGAUCAAGAUCCCCAUGCCGGAGCCGGAGCGCUCGCAGUAUCCCAUGGAGUGGGGCAAGACUCUCCUGGCUUUUAUUUAUGCACUUUUUUGUUUUGUCUUCACCACGGUGACUAUCUCGGUGGUUCAUGAACGAGUGCCUCCCAAGGAGGUGCAGCCUCCCCUCCCAGAUGCAUUUUUUGAUCGCUUUGAUCGGGUGCAAUGGGCUUUUUCUAUUUGUGAAAUCAACGGCAUGAUCCUUGUAGGACUGUGGUUUGUUCAGUGGCUGCUCUUAAAGUACAAGUCUAUAAUUAGCAGAAGAUUUUUCUGUAUAGUUGGCACACUAUACCUGUACCGGUGUAUUACCAUGUAUGUGACUACACUCCCAGUACCUGGAAUGCAUUUCAAGUGUUCUCCAAAGCUCUUUGGAGACUGGGAAUCUCACCUGCGAAGGAUAAUGAAGUUGAUUGCUGGCGGAGGCUUGUCCAUCACGGGCUCCCACAACAUGUGUGGGGACUACCUGUACAGCGGCCACACCGUCAUCCUAACCCUCACCUACCUGUUCAUCAAAGAGUAUUCCCCACGGCGACUCUGGUGGUACCACUGGAUCUGCUGGGCACUCAGCAUGGUGGGGAUGUUCUGCAUCCUCCUUGCUCAUGACCACUACACUGUGGACGUGGUGGUGGCUUACUACAUCACUACAAGGCUAUUCUGGUGGUACCACACAAUGGCCAACCAGCAAGUGCUAAAAGAAGCUUCCCAAACUAACCUCCUUGCAAGGGUCUGGUGGUACAAGCCCUUCCAGUACUUUGAGAAGAAUGUCCAAGGAAUUGUACCUCGCUCCUACCACUGGCCCCUGCGGUGUCCGGCGCUGGCGCGGGGCCGGCAGGUCAAGUACAGCCGCCUGGUGAGCGACACGUAACAGUGUCACCUCAGCCCCGAAAGGACCUGUCCCAAGUGCUCACAACUCCAAGAGAAGAUGCCAUAAACAAAAAUCCACCGCUCCCUAACCCUUUCUUUAGCAGCUCCCUGGACCUGACCUAUUCAGUUACCUGGCCAUCCGAUGUGGACUGUACGGAAACUGCAAUGAUGUGGAAUUGCUGUUGGGCAAAACAGUGCCUUAUCUGAAAUAAAAGCUAUGCAAUCGAUGCCGAGCGGGCGGGAGGAGCCUUCCUGGGAGCCAUCUCCAGGCCUUGAAAAAUCUACCCUGCAACUGCUGGGAUGCAGCACAGGGCAGGGGGGCAUCCCUUCCCCCAGGAGCUGCCAGUCCUGGCCCCUGGACACCAGAAAAAAAAGAGAAGAGAAGCCAAUUUCUGUGCGUCCGUGGUGGUGAAAGUGUCAUUUCUUCCUUCUUUUUUUUUUGGGGGAUGAUUUAUCUCCGCCUCUCUGCCCUGUUCCUCAGCCUUGGCCAAAACUGGAGGGCUGGUGGGGUGUUGUUUCUGCUGCUCUGCCUCGCUGUUGCUUGGGAUGCUGAACUGGUUUCUUAUCAGUUCUGUCUCCCUGGGAGGGAGGGAGGGAGCUGGGGAGGGGUUCCUUGGCCAAGCCCUUUGCGACAGCAUUUGCAGAGCUGGGUGGGAAUUUAGGGCUCUGCUCUGCCUUCAAUUCAUGGCUUUCCUUUGGAAACUUUUGGGGCUCAAAGUCAGUUUUUAAAACGGCCCAACCCCACCCCAGCUGAUUUUUGAGCUGAUUUUUGAGAGAGUUCACGCUCCCAGACGUAACCCGAGGAGUAGAUUUUUCAAGACCUGGCAUCACGCACAUCCGAACCAUUGACAUAAGUAAAUGUAUGGAUAUAUAUGCACAUGACAUUAAAUGGAAUCUGCUGAA